UUUAAUUCGAUGAUACGCGAGGUAACCUUACCUGGCUUAAAUGUAGAGUGCUAUUUUUUUAGAGAUAGAAAUUCCCUUCGGGGCUUUCUGCAAGGUGCUGCAUGGUUGCCGUCAGCUCGUGCCGUGAGGUGUCGGGUUAAGUCCCAUAACGAGCGCAACCCUUAUCGUUAGUUGCCAUCUGGUAAUGCAGGGGACUCUAGCGAAACUGCCACCGUAAGGUGAGAGGAAGGUGGGGAUGACGUCAAAUCAGCACGGCCCUUAUGUCCAGGGCUACACACGUGUUACAAUGGUCGGUACAGAGGGCAGCUACCUGGUGACAGGAUGCUAAUCUCGAAAACCGGUCUCAGUUCGGAUCGAAGUCUGCAACCCGACUUCGUGAAGCUGGAUUCGCUAGUAAUCGCGCAUCAGCUAUGGCGCGGUGAAUACGUUCCCGGGCCUU
rnacentral:rRNA from 1 species